AGUCGAACGGCAGCACGGACUUCGGUCUGGUGGCGAGUGGCGAACGGGUGAGUAAUGUAUCGGAACGCCUAGUAGCGGGGAUAACUACGCGAAAGCGUAGCUAAUACCGCAUACGCCCUUCGGGGGAAAGCGGGGGACCUUCGGGCCUCGCACUAUUAGAGCGGCCGAUAUCGGAUUAUUUAGCUAGUUAGGUAUCGGCUCACCAAGGCGACGAUCCGUAGCUGGUUUGAGAGGACGACCAGCCACACUGACUAGAGACGGCCCAGACUCCUACGGGAGUGUGCGGGGAAUUUUGGACAAUGGGGGAAACCCUGAUCCAGCCAUCCCGCGCAGUGAUACGCCUUCGGGUUGUAAAGCACUUUUGGCAGGAAGAAACGGCACGGGAUAAUACCCCGUGCAACUGACGGUACCUGCAGAAUAAGCACCGGCUAACUACGUGCCAGCAGCCGCGGUAAUACGUAGGGUGCAAGCGUUAAUCGGAAUUACUGGGCGUAAAGCGUGCAGCGGUUCGGAAAGAAAGAUGUGAAAUCCCAGAGCUUAACUUUGAACUGCACUUUAACUACCGAGCCAGAGUGUGUCGAGGAGGCAAUUCCGUAGCAGUGAAAUGCGUAGAUAUGCGGAGGAACACCGAUGGCGAAGGCAGCCUCUGGGAUAACACUGACGCUCAUGCACGAAAGCGUGGGGAGCAAACAGGAUUAGAUACCCGGUAGUCCACGCCCUAAACGAUGUCAACUAGCUGUUGGGGCCUUCGGGCCUUGGUAGCGCAGCUAACGCGUGAAGUUGACCGCCUGGGGAGUACGAAUGCAGAUUAAACUCAAAGGAAUUGACGGGGACCCGCACAAGUGGAGAUGAUUAAUUCGAUGCAACGCGAAAAACCUGCCCACCCUGAGAUGUCUGGAAUCCCGAAGAGAUUUGGAGUGUCGUGAGAACCGGAACACAGGUGCUGCAUGUUGCCGUCGCUCGUGUCGUAGAUGUUGGGUUAAGUCCCGCAACGAGCGCAACCUUGCUGCCAGUUGCUGCCGAAAGGCACUUUAAUGAGACUGGUUGUGACAAACCGGAGAAGGUGGAUGACGUCAAGUCCUCAUGGCCCUUAUGGGUAGGGCUUCACAAUGUCAUGCGAAUGGUCGGGACAGAGGGUCGCUAACCCGCGAGGGGGAGCCAAUCCCAGAAACCCGAUCGUCCGGACGUGAGUUCGUAACUCCCAUCAGUGGAAGUCGGAAUCGCUAGUAAUCGCGGAUCAGCAUGUCGCGGUGAAUACGUUCCUGGUCUUGUACACACCGCCCGCCACACCAUGGGAAGUGGGUUUCACUUGUGAAGUAGUUAGCCUAACCGUAAGGAGGGCGACACGGUAGGAUUCAUGAUCAGUGAAGUCGUAACAAGGUAA
rnacentral:rRNA from 1 species